GGUGGGCUGUGGCUCAGUGGCAGAGCAUCUGUUUGACAUGCAGAAGGUCCCAGGUUCGAUCCCUGGCAUCCCCA